AGCAGCCGCGGUAAUUCCAGCUCCAAUAGCGUAUAUUAAAGUUGUUGCAGUUAAAAGCUCGUAGUUGAAUUUCGGGAUCAAAGGAUCGGUCAUGCCUUGGUAUGUACUGGUUUUAUUGGUUCUCACCUUCUAAAGAACCAUAAUGUCAUUCAUUUGAUGUUAUGGGGAAUUAGGACUGUUACCUUAGAAAAAUUGAGUGUUUAAAGCAGGCUUACGCUUGAAUACAUUAGCAUGGAAUAAUGAAAUAGGACAUCAGAUUCUAUUUUGUUGGUUUCUAGGAUCGAUGUAAUGAUUAAUAGGGAUAGUUGGGGGCAUUAGUAUUCAAUUGUCAGAGGUGAAAUUCUUGGAUUUAUUGAAGA
rnacentral:misc_RNA from 1 species